GAUGAACGCUGGCUACAGGCUUAACACAUGCAAGUCGAGGGGAAACGACGGGGAAGCUUGCUUCCCCGGGCGUCGACCGGCGCACGGGUGAGUAACGCGUAUCCAACCUGCCUCUGACUGAGGGAUAACCCGUCGAAAGUCGGCCUAAUACCCCAUGGCAUCGUCUGCGGGCAUCCAACGACGAUUAAAGAUUUCAUCGGUCAGGGAUGGGGAUGCGUCUGAUUAGCUUGUUGGCGGGGUAACGGCCCACCAAGGCUACGAUCAGUAGGGGUUCUGAGAGGAAGGUCCCCCACAUUGGAACUGAGACACGGUCCAAACUCCUACGGGAGGCAGCAGUGAGGAAUAUUGGUCAAUGGGCGGGAGCCUGAACCAGCCAAGUAGCGUGCAGGAUGACGGCCCUAUGGGUUGUAAACUGCUUUUAUGCGGGGAUAAAGUGAGGGACGUGUCCUUCAUUGCAGGUACCGCAUGAAUAAGGACCGGCUAAUUCCGUG
rnacentral:rRNA from 1 species